rnacentral:rRNA from 1 species
UACAGAGGGGGCGAGCGUUGUUCGGAAUUACUGGGCGUAAAGGGCGCGUAGGCGGCCCGCUAAGUCGAACGUGAAAUCCCCAGGCUCAACCUGGGAACUGCGUCCGAUACUGGCAGGCUUGAAUCCGAGAGAGGUGAGUGGAAUACCCAGUGUAGAGGUGAAAUUCGUAGAUAUUGGGUGGAACACCGGUGGCGAAAGCGGCUCACUGGCUCGGUUCUGACGCUGAGGCGCGAAAGCGUGGGGAGCAAACAGG